UGAGCGGUUGCCUCGCUAAAAUCGCCGAACCCGAGUGUCUCCACAGCCCACCAACUCGCGGCCUCUCCUCAACCCCACCGCCGCCGCAGCUGUCGCCGUCGCCGUCGCCGUUGCCCCACCUCGUCGCCGAGCGCUCUACAGUGCAGGGGAAUGGCGCCGGCGCCGGCGCCGCCCAAGACGGGGCUGUUCCUGGGGAUCAACAAGGGUCCGGCUUCACCAAGAGCGAGCUCCCGCCCGCCCGUCCAGCCGCAAAGGGGGGAACUGAAAUGCCGCCGGUGAAGACGGGGCUGUUCAUGGGGAUCAAUAAGGGGCACGUUGUCACCAAGCUCGAGCUCCCGCCCCGCCCGUCCGACCGCAAAGGAAUGAGUAUUCUGCUGCCGGAAUCUGAUCAGUUCUUAUGUUCAAGCUGCUUACUUCUCUACAUUAGGCGUGUGAAAAUUGAAACACAGGUAGAAACUUUCUUCAGAGAGGGUGGAAUAACGAUGAAGCUAGUCGAAUCCUAGAGUGCAUCUGUUUAUGUGCAUGUCGUAACAGUGAAACUGCGUGUAGGGAUCGUGCAAUUAUUGGAGUUAUCUGUUGAUGCGACUUAACAAACAUAGACAUGUCACAAUGGUUUUCCAUGAAAUUUCCACACCAAUCUAUCUUUUAGCUUUCCUGCAAAAAACAAGAGAAUGUGUCGUUUAGCUGCUGCAGGCGCGGUGAUAUUGCCUGCUUCUUGGUGGGUGCUGUCAAAACUAGCAAGACAAGCAACGAUGUGUGUGGUGGCCAUAUAGCCUUCUCCGUUUAACCAUUGUAUAUGCUAUAUGAAGUAAUGCAAACUUAGAAGUUGUCAGUCCUUGUCAGUUUAUUUACACACAUUUUUUUGCGAGUACACACAGAAUGUUCAGGUGCCAGCCUGCAAAACUGACGUCUAUUUUCUAUGGGUGCAUAACUGUAUAUUCUUGCUCAAAUCUGAUGUUACCGUUUGAGUUUAGUCGUUCUGUGUGUGUUAUCUCCAGGCCUCAGAUUUCACUGUAAAUUCUGUGCAGUUAUUACAUACUACUCCCUCCGUUCCACAAUAGAUGACUCAACUUUAUACUAACUUUAAUACAAAGUUAGUACAAAGUUGGGUCAUCUAUUUUGGAACGGAGGGAGUAUAUGUUAGAAGUUUCAGUCUAUGGCGGGAGAGUGCAAUUCUGUGAUGAGAUUAUUGAGAAUGACAGCCUAGUAACAUUCUAAAAAUUGGGGAACUGAAAUGCCGCCGGUGCCGCUGAAGACGGGCUGUUCAUGGGGAUCAAUAAGGGGCACGUUGUCACCAAGCUCGAGCUCCCGCCCUGCCAUCCGACCGCAAAGGGGGAACUGAAAUGCCGCCGGCGCUGCUGAAGACGGGGCUGUUCAUGGGGAUCAAUAAGGGGCACGUUGUCACCAAGCUCGAGCUCCCGCCCCGCCCGUCCGACCGCAAAGGAAUGAGUAUUCUGCUUCCGGAAUCUGAUCAGUUCUUAUGUUCAAGCUGCUUCCUUCUCUACAUUAGGCGUGUGAAAAUUGAAACACAGGUAGAAACUUUCUUCAGAGAGGGUGGAAUAACGAUGAAGCUAGUCAAAUCCUAGAGUGCAUCUGUUGAUGUGCAUGUCGUAACGGUGAAACUGCGUGUAGGGAUCGUGCAAUUAUUGGAGUUAUCUGUUGACGUGACUUAACAAACAUAGACACGUGACAAUGGUUUUCCUGGAAAUUUCCACACCAAUCUAUCUUUUAGCUUUCCUGCAAAAAAAAGAGAAUGUGUCGUUUAGCUGCUGCAGGCGCGGUGAUAUUGCCUGCUUCUUGGUGGAUGCUGUCAAAAUUAGCGAGACAAGCAAUGAUGACUAUAUAUCCUUCUCCGUUUAACCAUUGUACGCUAUAUGAAGUAAUGCAUACAUUGAAGUUGUCAGUUCUUGACAGUUGAUUUACACACAAUGUUCAGGUGCCAGCUGCAAGACCGGCGUCUAUUUUCUAUGGGUGCAUAACUGUAUAUUCUUGCUCAAGUCUGAUGGUACCGUUUGUGUUUAGUCCGUCUGUGUGUGUUAUCUCCAGACCUCAGAUUUUACUGUAAAUUAUGUGCAAUUAUCACCUAUGUUAGAAGUUUCAGUCAUUAAUGGUAGUGCAAUUCUGUGAUGAGAUUAUUGAGAACGACAGCUUAGUAACAUUCCAAAAGUGGUAGCUUUCUUAUUUCAGAAAAUUACCAAGAGGGUCCUUUUUAUUCGGAACAUGAUCACGGAAGUUGCUGGAUUUGCACCAUAUGAGAAGCGUGUCACCGAGAUUCUGAAGGUUGGAAAAGAUAAACCUGCACUCAAGGUAGCCAAGAGAAAGCUAGGCACACACAAGAGAGCCAAGAAGAAGCGUGAGGAGAUGUCUGGUGUUCUUAGGAAGAUGAGGUACGUUUCUAUCUUUUGUUCCGGCAGCAGAGAUGUUGCCAACUUCUAAAGACGACUCACUUUUAUCUGACGGACAUAAAGUUUAGCCAUCAAAGCGUGUUGUGACUCUAGCCAAUCAUCUAAAAGUUGCUCCCAGUUGAUUACGAUCCACCUUCGGCAUACUCCUUUAGCAAUAACAUUACUGUAUGGACAUCUAUAUCCGUAAGGCUUAUCUUUGAAUUGAACCAUGUGCUCAUAUAUGUCAUUAUUGCCAUUAUGCUAGUUAGAAUUUUAUUUCUUCUGGAGGAAGUAUGCUACCUAAUGUUAGUGUAACUCAUUUGUACGUACGGUAUUAUCUAUUUCUUGAUUUCUAGCUUUGUA